UAGGGAAUCUUCCACAAUGGGCGCAAGCCUGAUGGAGUAACACCGCGUGAGUGAAGAAGGGUUUCGGCUCGUAAAGCUCUGUUGUUGGAGAAGAACGUGCGUGAGAGUAACUGUUCACGCAGUGACGGUAUCCAACCAACAAGUUNCGGCUAACAAGCUGCCAGCAGCCGCGGUAAUACGUAGGUGGCAAGCGUUAUCCGGAUUUAUUGGGCGUAAAGCGAGCGCAGGCGGUUGCUUAGGUCUGAUGUGAAAGCCUUCGGCUUAACCGAAGAAGUGCAUCGGAAACCGGGCGACUUGAGUGCAGAAGAGGACAGUGGAACUCCAUGUGUAGCGGUGGAAUGCGUAGAUAUAUGGAAGAACACCAGUGGCGAAGGCGGCUGUCUGGUCUGCAACUGACGCUGAGGCUCGAAAGCAUGGGUAGCGAACAGG
rnacentral:rRNA from 1 species